UCCGAGUCGAGACAACGAAUGUGACUGGAAAUGGCAAUGCCGAUUUGGAAUGGCGCCUGUUACGAUUCGUGACGAAGUUUAAUGAAUCGAGAGCGUUGUUCACGAGACAAUUCGAUAGCCCGUUAGAAGCGCGCGUACGUCAUAAUAAUUAUUCAUGGUCGUCGGCGCAGUUCAAUGCCGAUUUUGUGCUCACGUAUACGAAACCCGUGAAAUAUAACGGGGCCGCGAAGCUCGAGAGAGAGACGAAGAAUACUGAUGUAAAAAUUUGAAUAAUUAUCAGCAAUAAAUUCGUUGGAACUAUGUGCACGUUGCACUUUUUACGCGGUCGUAAAUUUAGCGGUAAGAUACGCCUUGAGAUCGGGCCGCGAGAUGCUCGCGACCACACCGAGGAGAACACAGAGGAGAGAUCCUGUCCGUCGUCGCGUUCACCUCGCAAGUAUAUAAGUAGAAUCUGUUAGAUUCGGAGUAUACGCGCUCUUAACGAUACUGUUUUUUCGAAUAAUCGACAGCUAAAGCAAUUUGUAUCUCUUAGAAGCAUCUUGUUAAAUUUCAUUACGUAAGUUAUAUCCUCGGUUCUCGAGAAACA
rnacentral:misc_RNA from 1 species